ACCCCUCAGUCCGCAGGCCGACGCUCUAUCCACUGAGCCAAACCGGUUUCGGCAGCUAAUGCUUAUUGAACUUAUCAAGUGCCAGGUGACUUAUUAUGUUCCAGGAAAUGUCCUAAGAAUUAUGCAUAGUUCCUUAUUUAAUCCCUAUAACAACCCCAUGAAAUUGGUGCUACAUUCACCUAUUUUAUGAAUGAGAAAACUGAAUGUCAUACAGGUCUAAAGUCAUAUAGGAAAAACUGGUAGUGCUGGGACUUGAACUCAAGCAUAUAUCACUUCAGAGCUCCCAUUCCUAGACACCAUUCCAUACAUCGUCCCUUAUAUGCACUUGUAGCAGUUUAAAUGUAGAUCCUUAUUGCUGCUUAAGUCUAUGUCAAAGACAUUAAACUUUUAUUCAGCAUUAAAGAUAAACUCUUGUGAAUGCAGAGUACCUGUCACAUGCUAAGCAAUGCAAUUAAAGUAGAAAAUGUCAAUUCUUGUGAUAAGUCGCAGAAUUUUCAAAGUCAGGAGAGACUGUGUGACCCAUUGCAUCAUAAAGAAAAACUAUCCAUUGGAUGCCAAACAUCUGUCAGGAUUUCUAGUUAACUUUUUUUAAAUGCUGUUUAUAUAAAGAGAUGUAUACACAAAAUAGUCAUUGCAGCACUGUUUAUAAUAGGAAAAUCCUAGAUACAAACUAUUACGAGAAAGCUGUUAUAAUAAAUUUUAGUAUACAUGUCUUAUGGAAUAUAUGCAGUGCAGCAAUUAAAAGAAAUGAGGUACAUGUAUAUGUCCUGACAUGGACAAUCUCUAAGAAAUGCUUCAAGUAAAAAAUACAAGAUGCAGAAAACUAAAUAGUAAUGCCAACAUUAGUUAAACUAAAAGGAAGGGAAAAUAGACAGGUGUUUGUGUGACUGAACAUUGAGAGGGACUUUUCCUGUUGUCUUGAAACUGCUGCUGAGGCCCAAAUCUGAUUUAAAAAAAAAAAAAAAAAAGUCCAUAAGAGCCCUGUUCUGCAUUUAAAAAUUGCCAGUGGUUGAAACCAGCUCUAUUACAGCAGGGCGUUUGAAGAGCCAUUACUGUUCUACCAGCCCUUCCACCAACCCCUCCUCCCUACCUAUUCCCCAUUUCCACCUCUCUCCCCACAGACAAACCAUCACCACUACAUGGAAAGAAUGGGAGAUGGGAGGGAAGUCAGCUUUUAGGGAAAAUGAGUGUUCUGUGAAGACCCAUCUUUUCCUCUUCUUUCAUGAGAAUCACUAGUGAACAUUGGGCGUGCCUACAGAAGAAGAGACUGGCAGCCCCCCUCCAAACUACCCCCCUCCUCCCCCCCGCCCCAUAUAUGUUUGUGCAGCAGCAGGCUCUCUGAUCUGCUCUGCCCCAUUGUUUCCUAAGGAAAACACAAAUAGGGAGAGACCGCAUGGCAGGGGCUCUGGAUGGCAUGGUGGGUGGCUCUAGAUGGAGAAGGUCUAAAACUGCCCCCACCAUGUUCACAUAUACCUUGACUUCCCAGUCCUAGAUUGGAGAACAGCAAAGAAAUGUUCAAGCUGGAAGUCAGCUGGAAGAUGCAGCAAAUAUAUGAGGAGUAAUCCAUUCCUAGGGGAGAUUCACGAAAUCACUCCAGGUCACCGUGUCAGAAGAGCAAAGGAGCAUUAGAUGUGAAAACGCUCCACGGAGCUGCAGAGCCCUAUAAAGGUGAGAAAAUGGAGGAUCAAAGAUGACAAGUAACUUGUCAAAGGUAACAUAACAAGGAAGUGGCAGAGCCAGGAUUCCAAAAAGGGGUGUGUGACCCCACAGCCUGCACUCUCCAAUUCACUAGAAUGCCUCCUCUCAAGAGCUCUGGGAGAAGUGUCAUCGGAGAUGAAG